rnacentral:rRNA from 1 species
UACGUAGGGGGCGAGCGUUGUCCGGAAUCACUGGGCGUAAAGCGUGCGUAGGCGGUUCGUUAAGUCUGCUGUGAAAGCCCUGGGCUCAACCUGGGAACUGCAGUGGAUACUGGCGGACUAGAGUGUGAUAGAGGAUGGUGGAAUUCCCGGUGUAGCGGUGAAAUGCGUAGAGAUCGGGAGGAACAUCUGUGGCGAAGGCGGCCAUCUGGACCAGCACUGACACUGAGGCACGAAAGCGUGGGGAGCAAACGGG